CCCAGAUACAUCAUAACUUUACAUCAUAGUCCAACUUUGCAGCUGUUUGUCUGGUCUAUUGCUAGGUAACAUCAGCUGUGAGUUAGAUUUGAAUGUCCAUGCAUGGUUUGCUGGUUUCAAGCAUUGAAUGAGAGGUUCUGAUGAGUCAAUAAUACCCCGAUAUGAACAAGUAUUAUAUAACAUAGUGCACAGAGAUAUAUUUGUGCAUAUACUGAGACAUUA